AUUGAACGCUGGCGGCAGGCUUAACACAUGCAAGUCGAACGAGUGGCGGACGGGUGAGUAAUGCUUGGGAAUCUAGCUUAUGGAGGGGGAUAACUACGGGAAACUGUAGCUAAUACCGCGUACCAUAGGAUGAGCCCAAGUGGGAUUAGGUAGUUGGUGAGGUAAAGGCUCACCAAGCCGACGAUCUCUCGCUGGUAUGAGAGGAUGACCAGCCACACGGGGACUGAGACACGGCCCAGACUCCGACGGGAGGCAGCAGUGGGGAAUAUUGCGCAAUGGGGGCAACGUGACAGAGCCAUGCCGCGGUAAUGAAGAAGGCCUUCGGGUUGUAAAGCACUUUCAGCGAGGAGGCGUUACUCGCAGAAGAAGCACCGGCUAACUCCGUGCCAGCAGCCGCGGUAAUUC
rnacentral:rRNA from 1 species